CAAGAAACAAUUCACUCUAUCCAUUGUUCUAACAAACUUGUUAUCCAUGUUUUCAUUAAGCCAAAGGCUCCUCUGCGCUGAAAAUCGCCUCUAGCGGUGGCGGAGGUGAAAACCUCCAAAUAAACAUAUCAAAUUGCUCUCCUUGACUCAUUCUUCCAUAAUCCACAAUCUUCUUCCUCUAAUAUUUAAUCAAAUUCUCAAACUGCACCGAAAUACCUAUUAACCCUAAUUCAAAAAUUCAAAAAUUAAAUGUUAUGAAUGAGGAAUCAAAGCCUACAAUAUUAAGGCUUUGAUUCCUCAGGUUCGAAGCUACAUUACUACAACUUGAAUCAAGGAAAAAUGUAAGAAGAAUGAAGAAAUCAUACCUACAAGGAUGAGAAGUUCCCCUGUCUUGUAGGGAUUGAUGAAGAUGAGGUUGAACAAAGAACAAGCUCCACUGAGAGCAUGUAUGCGUAUGUGGAUAAGAAAAGACAAGGCUAGACAUGAUUUUAAGUCAUGACAUGAGGACACUUAAGGCAUAUGAAGAAGACUUGGAAGGCUUGCUAUUGAUGAAUAGGAUUAUGGUUUAGGAAUAGAACUAGGCAGUUGACUUUGGUCAACUGGUUGACCAUUAAGUUAACAGUUGACCAAAGUCAACUAUUAGAUCAAAAGUGUGGCUUUUUGUAUAUUCUGAUUUUGAAUUUUUUGCAAUGUAAAUGGCUUUGUUUUUGAAAUGAAUGGCUUGUAUCUCAAUAAAGAUUAAAUUUCCCUCCAAAA